GGAAGGAUCAUUAGCGUUUGGAUGGUCAUCGUACCAUUUCGGUCAAAUGUGGAAUGUUGUCGGGGGAUGCUGGGUCCGCAGCUCUCUCUCCGGGGAGAGCAGCGAGGCAUCAUCAUCACUUUUUCUGCAACGAACUGGACAUUGUCUUGGCUAAAGUCGAAUUACGAUAACAUAACAUACAACUCUUAGCAAUGGAUAUCUUGGUUCCCACAACGAUGAAGAACGCAGCGAAAUGCGAUACGUAAUGCGAAUUGCAGAAUUCAGUGAAUCAUCGAAUCUUUGAACGCAAGUUGCGCUUUCGAGAGCCCUCGGAAGCAUGCCUCUCUGAGUAUCGGUUUCCAUCUCACACGGAGCGCGGCGCGCGCUGCGUGCGGAUAAUGAGCGUCGCUCCGGCGUCGCUUGAAAUUAUGUCGGUCGUUCGCGACACACAAGUCCAUCGGAUUCUUGGGACAUAAUCCGCCAUGGCACCCGGGAAACGCACCCAAAGAUCUCAGAUGAGGUAAGAUUACCCGCCGAAUUUAAGCAUAUAAUUAAGCGGAGGAAAAGAAACUAACUAGGAUUCCCUCAGUAACGGCGAGUGAAGCGGGAAGAGCUCAAACCGAAAAUCUCUGUCCGCUCGCCGGGCAGCGAAUUGUGGUCUAUGGAGGCGUGUUCAGCGUGCGGCGCCGGCCCAAGUCCGUUGGAAAACGGCGCCUGGGAGGGUGACAGCCCCGUCCUUGGCUGGAUGUCCGCCGCGUACGAACCGCCCUCUAAGAGUCGGCUUGCUUGGGAGUGCAGGCCAAAGCGGGUGGUAAAUUUCAUCCAAAGCUAAAUACCUGUGGGAGACCGAUAGCGAACAAGUACCGUGAGGGAAAGAUGAAAAGAACUUUGAAAAGAGAGUCAAAAGUACUUGAAAUUGCUGAGAUCGAAGGGAUGGCAUCUAGUAUUGGCCGGGGGAUUCUAGGGCGAGGAUUCGAGUGGGGCGCGGCCGCAAUUGGCUCCGUGCCUUUGGGGUGGCGUCCGCCUCUCGGGUCCGAACCCGCCAUGUCCCCGGGCCUAGGUCAGGAUGGAUUUGCGGUGGUCGAGAAUUGCCCCGGGAAGGUUGCUGUCGCUUCGGCGGCAGAUCUUACAGACCGGGGCCGGAUGGAUUGCCGGAGAUCGAGGCGCGAAAACGCACGUGUGUCUUUCGGGGGACACUGGGAGCCCCGCGCAAUGGUGGGCUGGUACCGGCGGGAUGCAAUGCCUCGUGUCGGUGGCCAGUCGCCAGCGUGCGGCCGGCUCACUUGUGCGGUUUGGGAUCCUGACGAAAUGGUUGUCAUUCACCCGUCUUGAAACACGGACCAAGGAGUCUUACAUAUAUGCGAGUGAUCGGGUGGGAAACUCGUUCGCGGAAUGAAGGUGAUGGAUUAUGUGGAUCGAGGGCGGGCGCGAGCCUGUCCGCAGAUCCGGGCGGCUAAGACAACUGUACGACCCAGAGCAUAUCUGUAGGGACCCGAAAGAUGGUGAACUAUGCUUGAGCAGGACGAAGCCAGGGGAAACUCUGGUGGAAGUCCGAAGCGAUACUGACGUGCAAAUCGUUCGUCUGACUUGAGUAUAGGGGCGAAAGACUAAUCGAACCAUCUAGUAGCUGGUUCCCUC
rnacentral:misc_RNA from 1 species